GAUGAACGCUGGCGGCAUGCCUAAUACAUGCAAGUCGAACGAAGUGAAGAUAGCUUGCUAUUGGAUCUUAGUGGCGAACGGGUGAGUAACACGUAGGUAACCUGCCCAUAUGACUGGGAUAACUAUUGGAAACGAUAGCUAAUACCGGAUAGGUGAAGCGAAGGCAUCUUCGCUUCAUUAAAGUCGGGAUACGACACAUAUGGAUGGACCUGCGGCGCAUUAGCUAGUUGGUGAGGUAACGGCUCACCAAGGCGAUGAUGCGUAGCCGACCUGAGAGGGUGAUCAGGCACACUGGAACUGAGACACGGUCCAGACUCCUACGGGAGGCAGCAGUGGGGAAUAUUGCACAAUGGAGGAAACUCUGAUGCAGCAACGCCGCGUGGAGGAUGACGCAUUUCGGUGUGUAAACUCCUUUUAUAAGGGAAGAUAAUGACGGUACCUUAUGAAUAAGCACCGGCUAACUCCGCGCCAG
rnacentral:rRNA from 1 species